rnacentral:lncRNA from 1 species
CUGCACCAACAGCCUGCAAUAUAUCCUGCACGUUUGAUGUUGACUUCUGUGGAUGGGAACAGGCAGUCGAUGACAACUUUGACUGGAUAAGGAACAAGGGGCCAACACCCUCACCAAACACUGGCCCUUCCUAUGACCACACAACAGGAGGUAGGAACAGAAACCAGUAUCUGGCUGUGCUUCAGGUAGAGCAGUCUCUGAGAAGACUGCAAAGAGCCUCUUUUAAUAGGAAAUCCAGGCAACGUGUUUCCAGGGCUUUAUCCAGAAUCUUCUGCAGCAGUCAGGAAUUUGUCUUGGGAUGAAUGACCAGUGCAGCACAUGGAAGAGUGUGUAACAUGCUUGCAUAGUUACCUGCAGAUAGGCUUCAGGAAAGACAUACCCAGGCUGAGAUUGGAUCACUUCAAUGCCUGACCCAUAAUUUAGGAUGCUAGCCUUCCCCUAGGGAGGAGGUGUAAUCUGCUGGAAAACCAUUUGGGGACAGGAAAUUUAAUGGUGGUGCUGGGUACAGGAAAACUAUAAUAUUAUAGACUGAUUAAAUGCUCAUAUCAUAACAUCACACGCUCACUGGCCAGUGAUGUCUAGACUUCUAUUCUGGAGAGAAAAGCGCUCCAUUUAAAGUAACAUGAAAACUAUGUGCAGACUGCUCUCGCCAUGCCUCCCCAGAAAAUGCAGCUGCACACAAAAUGUAAAAGAGGUAUUUUGUAUAGCCCAGAUGCAGCAAUAUGAGAACUUACAACUGUGCUAUUUCCAGAUGGCUAUUACAUAUACCUGCAAGGAAGUGAGCAUAACCCAGCUGAUGUAGCUCGCUUGGCCAGUCCAAUAUGUGGUUCAGAAGGACCGCACUGCUUCCGCUUCUGGUAUCACAUGUACGGCGUGGCUGAAACAAUGGCCCUGCGGGUGUACGUAACUCACAAUGAAACAUCAACACUGGAAUGGAAAGAAGCUGGAAACAAAGGGGACAGAUGGCAUUUACAAGAGCUCACGGUGCACAGCAAAGGAAACAUGCAGAUUGUCCUCGAAGGCAUGAUAGGGGAAGAUUUCCGCAGCGACGUGGCACUGGAUGAUCUGUCCAUUGAAAAGGGAUACUGCCCAGGCGAUGGGCCUCCAACGCCUGGCACCAGCACACCAACACCUGGGACACCAACACCCUCGCCAGGCUCAGGUGAGUGGAGCAGACGAGUCACGGGGCUGCAGCGUUCGGUCAGGGUGGGCUGUGGAGAGGAGGCGGCAGGAGGUGCAUCACUGAACGUUUCC